rnacentral:rRNA from 1 species
GAACAACUUACCGAAAGGUGAGCUAAUGCCGGAUGAGUUAUAUAAGUGCAUGUUUAUAUAGGAAAAGUUGGGGAGACCUGACGCUGAAAGAUGGACUCGCGUCCCAUUAGCUAGUUGGUAGGGUAAUGGCCUACCAAGGCGACGAUGGGUAGCCGGCCUGAGAGGGUGGCCGGCCACACUGGGACUGAGACACGGCCCAGACUCCUACGGGAGGCAGCAGUGGGGAAUUUUGCGCAAUGCUCGUAAGAGUGACGCAGCGACGCCGCGUGAAUGACGAAGGCCUUCGGGUCGUAAAGUUCUUUCGACAGGGAAGAAAAUGCCUAUAAGUAACUGUGUAUGUAUUGACGGUACCUGUAUAAGCAGCCCCGGCUAACUCCGUGCCAGCAGCCGCGGUAAUACGGAGGGGGCGAGCGUUGUUCGGAGUGACUGGGCGUAAAGAGCACGUAGGCGGUGUUGUAAGUCAUUAGUCAAAGACUAGAGCUCAACUUUAGUAAGGCUAGUGAUACUAUAAUACUAGAGUAUCAGAGAGGAUUGCAGAAUUCCUGGUGUAGCGGUGAAAUGCGUAGAUAUCAGGAGGAAUACCGUUAGCGAAGGCGGCAAUCUGGCUGGAAAA